rnacentral:rRNA from 1 species
GAAAGCAGGGGACCUUCGGGCCUUGCGCUAUCAGAUGAGCCUAGGUCGGAUUAGCUAGUUGGUGAGGUAAUGGCUCACCAAGGCGACGAUCCGUAACUGGUCUGAGAGGAUGAUCAGUCACACUGGAACUGAGACACGGUCCAGACUCCUACGGGAGGCAGCAGUGGGGAAUAUUGGACAAUGGGCGAAAGCCUGAUCCAGCCAUGCCGCGUGUGUGAAGAAGGUCUUCGGAUUGUAAAGCACUUUAAGUUGGGAGGAAGGGUUGUAGAUUAAUACUCUGCAAUUUUGACGUUACCGACAGAAUAAGCACCGGCUAACUCUGUGCCAGCAGCCGCGGUAAUACAGAGGGUGCAAGCGUUAAUCGGAAUUACUGGGCGUAAAGCGCGCGUAGGUGGUUCGUUAAGUUGGAUGUGAAAGCCCCGGGCUCAACCUGGGAACUGCAUUCAAAACUGUCGAGCUAGAGUAUGGUAGAGGGUGGUGG